rnacentral:rRNA from 1 species
GACGAACGCUGGCGGCGUGCUUAACACAUGCAAGUCGAACGGUAAGGCCCUUCGGGGUACACGAGUGGCGAACGGGUGAGUAACACGUGGGUGAUCUGCCCUGCACUUCGGGAUAAGCCUGGGAAACUGGGUCUAAUACCGGAUAGGACUCCGGACUGCAUGGUCUGGGGUGGAAAGCUUUUGCGGUGUGGGAUGGGCCCGCGGCCUAUCAGCUUGGUGGUGGGGUGAUGGCCUACCAAGGCGACGACGGGUAGCCGGCCUGAGAGGGUGACCGGCCACACUGGGACUGCGACACGGCCCAGACUCCUACGGGAGGCAGCAGUGGGGAAUAUUGCACAAUGGGCGCAAGCCUGAUGCAGCAACGCCGCGUGAGGGAUGAAGGUCUUCGGGUUGUAAACCUCUUUUAGCAGGGAAGAAGCGAAAGUGACGGUACCUGCAGAAAAAGCACCGGCUAACUACGUGCCAGCCGCCGCCGUAA